rnacentral:rRNA from 1 species
UAGGGAAUCUUCGGCAAUGGGGGGAACCCUGACCGAGCAACGCCGCGUGAGUGACGAAGGUUUUCGGAUCGUAAAGCUCUGUUGUUAAGGAAGAACGAGUGUGAGAAUGGAAAGUUCAUACUGUGACGGUACUUAACCAGAAAGGGACGGCUAACUACGUGCCAGCAGCCGCGGUAAUACGUAGGUCCCGAUCGUUGUCCGGAUUUAUUGGGCGUAAAGCGAGCGCAGGCGGUUAGAUAAGUCUGAAGUUAAAGGCAGUGGCUCAACCAUUGUAGGCUUUGGAAACUGUUUAAUUAGAGUGCAGAAGGGGAUAGUGGAAUUCCAUGUGUAGCGGUGAAAUGCAUAGAUAUAUUGAGGAACACCGGUGGCGAAAGCGGCUCUCUGGUCUGUAACUGACGCUGAGGCUCGAAAGCGUGGGGAGCGAACAGG